CUCCUCAGCAAUCCCAAAGGUAAGGAGGCUGUGGGAUUAAAUUUAAAAAAACCGUGUGUGUGUGUUAGAGUGUGUCAGUGAGUGUGUUAGUGUGUGAGUCUGUUUGGUGUCUGUUAGUGAGUGUGUGUUUUGUAAGUGAGUGUGUAUGUAUGUCACUGAGUGUGUGUCUGUCAGUAAAUGUGCGUGUCUGUUAGCUAGUGUGUAUGCAUCUGUUCGUGAG